UUAGAUACACUAACAAAGAGAGAAAGAAAGAGUGAUGCAUCAAACACAGAGUAUAAGAAAAUAGUCUGUGAGAAAAAUAGAGAGUGUGAGCAAUAUUGUAGUGAGGUGGAUGGUUAUUUCUUUUGAGUGUUUUAGUGGUCUUUGUAGUAUUUUACUCGGGCCUACAAAGUAUAAAAUUUCUUACUAUAGUCAUAUUAGUUGCUCCUCUCGAGGUCGUGAUUUUUUCCUUAUUCAAAAGGGUUUUCCACGUAAAAAUCAUGGUGUCAUUAUCACUCUUCUAUUUUUAUUAAUUACCAUAUCUCACUGCUAUAUUAUUAUUCCACUUUUAUUAUCGCGAAUAUUCCCAACACCUCUUAGAAGUGAAAGAUCCGAAUAUCACGUACCUUAAUUGUUGGCGCCUUAAAUUCUUGGAAUGGGAUCAUUCAAUAUAUUGAACAAUGCUUAUCUCCGUCAGACAAAAAAACUAAAUAACAAUAUACUGCGGAAAAUUAAAGUAACUAUACACACAUGUAGAACUAUAUUUAAUCAAACAAUUUCUUUUCACUCUUCUUGUGCAUAUUCUGAUUUUCGGUACACAUAGAUUUUAAUUGCAACCAUGAUUCGGUUCACUUCAUAUGCUUGUCUUUAGAAAAUAUUUAGGACGACUCUAUCGUGGAUGAAACUAUUUCAUCUUUCAGCAUAACUAAUAUUUGAACUUAUCUACUGCUAUUUCAAGUUAAAGCAUGUAAAAGUUAGAAAAACAGUAUAAAAGAUCAACUAUAUAUAGAAAGAUUCAAAAUUUCAGUGAUACGUUUAAAAUUUAGGAGUUUUAUAUAUAUAUAUAUAUAUAUAUAUAUAUAUUUGUCUUCUCUUUUCAGAAGCUUUAACCACACAGAAAAACUUGAUUUUUUUUUUCAAUUCUAAAAUUUAGAAGUGGUGUAACUGUUCCCUCCUUUGAAUAUGCAUCCAUUUGUUCUCCAGAUGCGGUUUUCCAAUAUUUAUCACUUUGUUCUUUAAAAUGACCUAACUACCUUUUUAAAUGUUCUUACGUAUUAGGUUUUAAAUUUUCAAUUAUUAUUAGAUUAUUUACAGGUAGUAGGAACAACUACAUUUUGUAGGAGAAAUUGUAAUAGCAGUUGUAAGCACCGAAAUCUAUUACUCUAGAUAAAGGUUUAAAACUAAUUUAAAUUUCUAUAGUAACCAAUUAAUUCAAAAUUUGUUAAGAAACUUAGUUCAAAUUAAUAAUAUAAAAUAUAAAGAUAGGCAAUAAUGUAGAGAGAAAGAGAGAAGAGAAUCUAUUUCUUCCAUGUAUUCACGUGUGUCCAAUAUAAUGCUCAAACCCUCUAUUUAUAGGAUGACAUUGAGGUAUACAAAGGGAUAUCAUAAAUAUGGUAUUAACUAUUGAGAUCAUGGGGAAAGAUCGUGUAGAGGUUAUGGAGGUGCAAGUAUUACAACUAUAAUGGUGAGAAGUAGUAGAAGUUAUCUACUUAAUGGAGAAAAGUAGUGGGAGUAACUUCUUUAGGAGUUGUAGACAUCCACUACAAAAUAAUAUUUCAUAAUAAAAUUUAAAUUUAGAAGAUAUUUUAGAUAAACGUUAAUUUGUGAUGUCUUAACCAUGCCCCUUGGCGUGUUGUGAUUAAACCACUUGUCAUGGUAUGGUGCUUCUGCUUUCCUUUUUAUUAGAUAGAUGAGUGAACCACUACAAAAGCGAAAAAAAAUGAAGUACUAAGGGGGAAUCGAUCUACAUUCCUUUAAAUAAAUAAUUCAGCAGCAUUCAAUUAAGUGCACGUCUCAACCUUUUUGAAGCAUGGCAGCCAGUAAACAAUAUUAAAUUAAUCUUAUGAAAUAUAUACAUAAAAUACAUAAUUUAACGAAAAAGUCAUACAUUCACGUGCAUCUUAAAAAGGGCCUAAAUCCGCCCCUGUUGAGAUUGCCAUUAGCAAAAUAUAAGGUUUUGUUAAGAUAAAUUUGGUUGAAUUGAAACGACGAGCAUUUGAAGUUGAGUUGAUUGAACACUCAAUUGUGUUUGAACAUAAAUCUUACUAAAAAGAAAUGCUUGAGUUUGAAGUUUUUAUUAGAAUAUAUUGUAUUGUCCUAUAGUUGGUAGGAUUUGAUUUCCUUUAUUAUUGUUCAGUCCUAUAGUUGGUAGGAUUUAGUUUAUUGUACAGUCCUAUAGUUGGUAGAAUUUGGUUUCUCUCUAUACUCUAUAUAUACAUUUGUAAGCAAUAUAUUUUGUGAGAAGCCUCAAACCAAUCACUUCUCCCAAAACUUCUCCCAAAACUCUCUACAUGGUAUCAGAGCCAGUGGCUUAUCGCCAAAGAAAUCCUAAUUCUUCCCUACCCGCGCCGCCGCUGCACUAAUCGGCAGCCAGCCACCGCCGACCUUCUCGGCCCACCGCCUCUCUCCGGCAUCUUGCCGCGCAGGCGCUGCAUUAACCGGCAGCCCUCUCUCUCGACGUCGUUCAGCGCCUCCUCUCCUUUGCCUCGCGCUUCAUGGCCGCUACGACUUCAAACGCUCUUCUCCAGCCGAUUGCCAUCAAUGCAACGGCUCAGAUCCCACUCAAAUUAGAUUCCACUAAUUACCUGACGUGGAAAUUCCAAUUCCGAACCCUUCUUACGGGUUACAACCUCCUCGGCUUCUUGGAUGGAUCGAAGCCGUGCCCACCAGCCACUAUCGUCGACCAGCCACCGCCGACCUUCUCGGCCCACCGCCUCUCUCCGGCAUCUCGCCGCGCAGGCGCUGCACUAACCGGCAGCCCUCUCUCUCUCGACGUCGUUCAGCGCCUUCUCUCCUUUACCUCGCGCUUCAUGGCCGCUACGACAUCCAACGAUCUUCUCCAGCCGAUUGCCAUCAAUGC
rnacentral:lncRNA from 1 species